rnacentral:rRNA from 1 species
UACAGAGGUCUCGAGCGUUGUUCGGAUUCAUUGGGCGUAAAGGGUGCGUAGGUGGCGCUGUAAGUCGGGUGUGAAAUUUCGGAGCUUAACUCCGAAACUGCAUUUGAUACUGCGGUGCUUGAGGACUGGAGAGGAGACUGGAAUUUACGGUGUAGCAGUGAAAUGCGUAGAGAUCGUAAGGAAGACCAGUGGCGAAGGCGGGUCUCUGGGCCGAAACUGACGCUGAGGAGCGAAAGCGUGGGGGAGCAAACAGG